AGAGAUUAUUUCCUUCCAGAAUUCUCAGGAAACUUUUGUCAUUGCCCCUAUGCUUCUGUCUUGUGGAUUUUUUUUUAAACCCUUGCCUUCCAUCUUGGAGUCAAUACUGUGUAUUGAUUCCAAGGCAGAAGAGUGGUAAGGGCUAAGCAAUGGGGGUCAAGUGACUUGCCCAGGGUCACACAGCUAGGAAGUGUCUGAGGCUAGAUUUGAGCUACCCAGCUGCCCCCUGUCUUGUGGAUUUUGAGGAGGGACAAGCACAUAAUUGGUGAGGACCAGACCAACAGGAAACUUAAGUGUUUGAUACAGUUUAAAGGUACUCCUCACAUGCCAACAUGGCUCCAUGGAACACCAUUAUAGAUGUCUCUGAUGCCUGUAGCAUCAACUGUACCCCCUGCCUGUAGCAACAACGUCCCCUGGAAGUGGGGUGGGGCAGUUUGACUGAAGGAAGACAAGGGGGAAACUGGUGCUUUAUGAUGUCAGGGCCCUCUCAGAUCCUCUAUCUGGGAUAAAUGCAUCAAGGUCCAGUUUUGAUUUAGGGGUCUAAGGAAGUACACAUCUACUUUUCUCUGAGUCUCAUAACACAGCCUCUUGGGAGAAAGUGCUUAUCUUUCUGGAAUGACUAGAUUUGGCUUUUAGUGACUUUAUUUUUAUUGUGGAUCCUGUCCCUAAAGACCUUUCACUUGUAAUCAACAAGAAUCGCAAGCAAGAAUCGGGCUGGCAAAAAUUGCUGUGCAUUAGAACCUUUGGCAUAUCCUGCUCAUCUUGGAAGUUCUUACUGAUUCUAUUGGUGAAAAAUGCCAAGAGGGAGAGAGAAGUGUGACCUGUGGAUGGAGGAAUGCAGUGUGGGGUCUACCAGGAAGUCUAGGAGAAGUAAAGGGGUUUGGAAGACAUCUAGUUAACCCAGUCUUGCCCAUCAGUGAUCUACUCAUAUAAUCAAAAUUGUUUCUGUUUUUUUAAGACCCUUUGGGAGAAGAAUGGAGAGAAGAUCCAGGAUUUUUCCCAAAGAAAUAGCCCACUUCCCUCGAAAAGGUCUCCAAAACAACAGCUCGUCAGUGCUGUUACCGUGUCCUCCACAUCAGAUGUCCCCACUGUGGGAACAAAGCCAUUCGUCCAGGAUUGACCAGAUGCCCCACCUCGGCUACCAGGCCAGAGAUCCUGAAACAUCAACCCCUCCCUUCCUCAGGACUGCAGAGAGAGAAUCCUCGCCUCAGGUCUUCCAGCAUCUCCCCGAAGAGUCCCAGCUGCCCCAGGAUGACCACAAGACAAUGGCUGUCCUGUUGCCCUACCUUCACCACCGAGGUCUGGCCAAACCAUCGCCCCGCCACAAAUACCGCGCCUCGCCGUCAGUCAUGCCUUUCCCUCGGUCUAACUUCAGGGCCAAGAAAACAGUUCUGAAGUUAACGGCUGAUGAACAGUGUACGGUGUCUCCCCCUCGCUCCCCAAACCAGUCGGACUAUUCCCUGGACCCUGACCACCUGGCUUUGGAUCAUUCCGGCCUUGACCAUCUGCCUAAAAUUUUUCCUGGUUACAAAAAUCGGGCUGAGGCCAUCACACCCCUUGGCCAGAAGGCCGAAGUUCUCUUAUAUGAGGGGGACGAGUCCAGUCCGAGAUCUGCAUAUAGACCUAGCCUAGACUACCAGACAGGGCCGACGCCGGGGCCGCUGACCACUAUGCAGCAGACCAAAGCGUCCCUGCGGCACAGACGACACCACGUCAGGGCCUCCACUCUGCUGCUGGGGUUCACCAAGAAGGGAGACAGACCCGUUUCAGCCUCUUCCCAUGGUCUUAAAGAUCGGUCCAGGGCCACAGUUUUCAAGCCACCAGACCUGGCCAGAGUGUUGAAAGAAUCCCACUCGGAUCUCUGCCCCAAAGAAAUAAUAUCCCUGCUAAGAUACGCUAACUCCGAGUACAGCUUGACUCCAUCGUUAUCGGAUCAGGACCAGAGUCCCGAUCAGGAGGCGGAGGAAAUGCAAGCUCCCCCGGCCGAAGACGCGUCUCUGAUUGAAGUAGAAGCAACAUCUCUAAGGGGAGACUACCAGACUACCGCAGCAGCAGGUCUAGAUCACGGAGUGACACCUCCACCGAGUGUGAAGCUCCAAGACCUGAUUCACUGGAGCGCACCAACGCCUGCCUCUGAGGCUUUACCAGACCCAAAUGUCCUUUUCACACUUCAAGCAGAACAAGAAAAAAUGGCAGAGAGAAUGGAACACCAGGCGAUAAUCCCAGCAGGUGAGUACCACGAGCAAACGGAUUCACUCUUAGUUCCACAAGAUAGUUCACCUGACCUCAAACUCCCAUCAGACCUUUCCCACCAGUCUGAAGCGACAUAGUGCCAAAUCUUUCUCCGUGUCUCAGUUCACCCAGUCCAAGGUCCCAUUGCCCAUGCCUUAAUUCAGACAGAACCAGAGACUUGGCAAACGAUGUCAUCAAGAAGAGAGUCCUGCCCCCAGCACUAAUAGGCCCCCAUCAUAGGACAACCUCUCCACUGGGCUUAAAUCCCAAGACAUCUCUCCCUGGCCUUAACCACCAUGCCAUCCCCACACAAACCCCAGACCACCAGGUGACUGGAAAUAUAAUUGAUAUUAAUCCUCCUUUCAUACUUCAAGCAGGGCAAGACUACCUAGGGGAAGUGGAACAAGAAAUAGACCUGGACUAGGCCACAUUUUUCACAGGUCAGGAUCAUGGGCCAUUGGACCUCAGGAUAAGAUUUUAACCUGGUUUCGACUACUAAACUACAAUGCUGACGGGCAAGGAUCCUCAGAUACUACCUCCUAUGGCUUUAGACCCACAGAGCAAAAUACUUCCUGAGUCAACAGGUUACAUCUCUAAUAAAUCCUCAUCACUUGGCCA
rnacentral:lncRNA from 1 species